UACAGAGAGUGCAAACGUUGUUCGGAAUUACUGGGCUUAAAGCGCACGUAGGCGGUGUCGUAAGUGUCAGGUGAAAUCCCACGGCUCACCCGUGGAACUGCCUGGCAUACUGCGAUACUCGAGUGUGGUAGGGGAGAGCGGAACUCCUGGUGGAGCGGUGAAAUGCGUAGAUAUCAGGAGGAACACCGGUGGCGAAGGCGGCUCUCUGGUCCACAACUGACGCUGAGGUGCGAAAGCUAGGGGAGCAAACGGG
rnacentral:rRNA from 1 species